CAGCCGUGUGCAUGUCUACAAUUUUAUCCCUGAUGUCCUUACACAGCUCUCUGGUCUUGGCCAUUGUGGCUACACGGCUGGAAAUGGUUCAACUCUGAGACUAUUGAUCCCCACAGAUUAAGAGCAAGUCUUGGAUACUAAUUACUUGUCUGCAGCUGGAAAUUAUGUAAACCUGUGAUGCGAAUACCGACAACCGCCUAAACAUCUAUUCUGUCGGACAUUUUCUGAAUGGUACUCUGAAGUAUUCCUUCUAACCAUGAAACACUUUGAUCUUCAGGGAAACAAAAAGAGAGAGAGACUCGGAUGAACUCUCCAGCAGACGGACCGGAUUCCAAUAGAGAAGACAACAAUGACAUACACUGUGCUUGUGAAACCCCCAUUCACCUGAGUCCCAGGUGUGUGUGUGACCCACCGCACGAAGUUAUGUAACCGAGCUAUGUGUACUGAGAGAGGAAGACUCCGUGAAAAUACUUGGGAACGUCGCAGCAGCACUCACAGACUUUAAUUACAUCCUCUAGUGUCUUUGUCACUGGGCCUUUGGGCAGGUUUGUGUUCUCACUAUUAUUAUUCAGGGGGGAGUGGUUGAGUUUCUUCUUUAUGAGUGUACUGUAUCUUCUUAGUCUCCCUACUCCUCCUUCCCUCCUUCCCCUCCCCUUUCACAGGAGGUUGGUAGCACCUUAAUUGAGGAGGAUGCGCACGUGGUAAUGGCUGGAGCAGAAUGGGUGGAAAGGUAUCAACAACAUCAAACACAUGGUUUCCAUGUGUUUGCUGCCAUUCCAUUCACGCCGUUCCAGCUAUGAGCCAUUCUCCCCUCAGCAGCCUCCACUGACCUCUAUCAAUCGUUAUGUCAACCCCUCUAUGAAAAAUCCAAAUGCCACAGAUCACACCGACAUCUUGAAACAGAACGUUUCUCUGUUGCAAAACCAUUAAACAUUUGGCAGCUCUUCAGUUUGA